UCGUGUCGUGAGAUGUUGGUUAAGUCCCGUAACGAGCGCAACCCUUGUCUUUAAUUGCCAUCAUUUAGUUGGGCACUUUAAAGAGACUGCCGGUGUUAAGCCGGAGGAAGGUGGGGAUGACGUCAAGUCCUCAUGGCCUUUAUGCCCAGGGCUACACACGUGCUACAAUGGGCGGUACAAAGAGAAGCAACCUCGCGAGGGUGAGCAAAUCUCAAAAAGCCGUUCUCAGUUCGGAUUGAAGUCUGCAACUCGACUUCAUGAAGUCGGAAUCGCUAGUAAUCGCGGAUCAGCAUGCCGCGGUGAAUACGUUCCCGGGCCUU
rnacentral:rRNA from 1 species